rnacentral:rRNA from 1 species
UACGUAGGGGGCAAGCGUUGUCCGGAAUCAUUGGGCGUAAAGAGCGCGUAGGCGGCCAGAUAAGUCCGGUGUGAAAGUCAAAGGCUCAACCUUUGAAUGCCGCUGGAAACUGUCUGGCUAGAGUCCGGGAGAGGAGAGUGGAAUUCCUGGUGUAGCGGUGAAAUGCGCAGAUAUCAGGAAGAACACCCGUGGCGAAAGCGGCUCUCUGGAACGGUACUGACGCUGAGACGCGAAAGCGUGGGGAGCAAACAGG